rnacentral:rRNA from 1 species
GACGAACGCUGGCGGCGUGCUUAACACAUGCAAGUCGAACGGAAAGGCCCUUCGGGGUACUCGAGUGGUGAACGGGUGAGUAACACGUGGGUGAUCUGCCCUGCACUUUGGGAUAAGCCUGGGAAACUGGGUCUAAUACCGAAUAGGACCACGCGCUUCAUGGUGUGUGGUGGAAAGCUUUUGCGGUGUGGGAUGGGCCCGCGGCCUAUCAGCUUGUUGGUGGGGUAAUGGCCUACCAAGGCGACGACGGGUAGCCGGCCUGAGAGGGUGACCGGCCACACUGGGACUGAGAUACGGCCCAGACUCCUACGGGAGGCAGCAGUGGGGAAUAUUGCACAAUGGGCGCAAGCCUGAUGCAGCGACGCCGCGUGAGGGAUGACGGCCUUCGGGUUGUAAACCUCUUUCAAUAGGGACGAAGCGCAAGUGACGGUACCUAUAGAAGAAGCACCGGCCAACUACGUG